UACGAAGGGGGCUAGCGUUGUUCGGAAUCACUGGGCGUAAAGCGCACGUAGGCGGAUCGUUAAGUCAGGGGUGAAAGCCUGGAGCUCAACUCCAGAACUGCCUUUGAUACUGGCGAUCUUGAGACCGGGAGAGGUGAGUGGAACUGCUAGUGUAGAGGUGAAAUUCGUAGAUAUUAGCAAGAACACCAGUGGCGAAGGCGGCUCACUGGCCCGGUACUGACGCUGAGGUACGAAAGCGUGGGGAGCAAACAGG
rnacentral:rRNA from 1 species